AACGAACGCUGGCGGCAGGCUUAACACAUGCAAGUCGAACGCCCCGCAAGGGGAGUGGCAGACGGGUGAGUAACGCGUGGGAAUCUACCCAACUCUACGGAAUAACUCAGGGAAACUUGUGCUAAUACCGUAUACGCCCUUCGGGGGAAAGAUUUAUCGGAGUUGGAUGAGCCCGCGUUGGAUUAGCUAGUUGGUGGGGUAAAGGCCUACCAAGGCGACGAUCCAUAGCUGGUCUGAGAGGAUGAUCAGCCACAUUGGGACUGAGACACGGCCCGAACUCCUACGGGAGGCAGCAGUGGGGAAUAUUGGACAACGGGCGCAAGCCUGAUCCAGCCAUGCCGCGUGAGUGAUGAAGGCCCUAGGGUUGUAAAGCUCUUUCACCGGUGAAGAUAAUGACGGUAACCGGAGAAGAAGCCCCGGCUAACUUCGUGCCAGCCGCCGCGGUAAGAC
rnacentral:rRNA from 1 species